rnacentral:tRNA from 1 species
AGUAUUAUGUCUGAAAAAGAAGUAAAUUGUAAAUUUAUUAAUGAAAAUUUAAAGUUUUUCUAAUACUA